AUUGAACGCUGGCGGCAGGCCUAACACAUGCAAGUCGAACGAGUGGCGGACGGGUGAGUAAUGUCUGGGAAACUGCCUGAUGGAGGGGGAUAACUACUGGAAACGGUAGCUAAUACCGCAUACCAUCGGAUGUGCCCAGAUGGGAUUAGCUAGUAGGUGGGGUAACGGCGCAGCUAGGCGACGAUCCCUAGCUGGUCUGAGAGGAUGACCAGCCAAACGGGAACUGGGACACGGUCCAGACGCCGACGGGAGGCAGCAGUGGGGAAUAUUGCAACAUGGGCGCAAGCCUGAGGCAGCCAUGCGGCGUGGAUGAAGAAGGCCUUCGGGUUGUAAAGUACUUUCAGCGGGGAGGCGUUACCCGAAGAAGAAGCACCGGCUAACUCCGUGCCAGCAGCCGCGGUAAUAC
rnacentral:rRNA from 1 species